rnacentral:sRNA from 1 species
UGGUAGAUGCACCUUGAUCUUCAACUCCCCUGCUUGGCUAACAGCCACAGGGGUUUUUUAU